CAGUAGCCGCGGGAAUACGUAGGUGGCAAGCGUUGUCCGGAAUUAUUGGGCGUAAAGGGCUCGCAGGCGGUUUCUUAAGUCUGAUGUGAAAGCCCCCGGCUCAACCGGGGAGGGUCAUUGGAAACUGGGAAACUUGAGUGCAGAAGAGGAGAGUGGAAUUCCACGUGUGGCGGUGAAAUGCGUAGAGAUGUGGAGGAACACCAGUGGCGAAGGCGACUCUCUGGUCUGUAACUGACGCUGAGGAGCGAAAGCGUGGGGAGCGAACAGGAUUAGAUACCCCAGUAGUCCCUGUCUCUUAUAC
rnacentral:rRNA from 1 species